CCUACGGGUGGCAGCAGUGGGGAAUAUUGGGCAAUGGGCGCAAGCCUGACCCAGCAACGCCGCGUGAAGGAAGAAGGCUUUCGGGUUGUAAACCUCUAUCAGCAGGGACGAAGCAAGUGACGGUACCUGAGGAAUAAGCCACGGCUAACUACGUGCCAGCAGCCGCGGUAAUACGUAGGGGGCAAGCGUUAUCCGGAUUUACUGGGUGUAAAGGGCGUGUAGGCGGGGACGCAAGUCUGAGGUGAAAACCACGGGCGCAACCUCGGGCCUGCAUUUGAAACUGUGUUUCUUGAGUACGGGAGAGGCAGGCGGAAUUCCUAGUGUAGCGGUGAAAUGCGUAGAUAUUAGGAGGAACACCAGUGGCGAAGGCGGUCUGCUGGACAGCAACUGACGCUGAGGCGCGAAAGCGUGGGGAGCAAACAGGAUUAGAUACCCUGGUAGUC
rnacentral:rRNA from 1 species